UAUUUUCUCUAAUCUAAAUAUACUAAAUCAGCAGUCACUUUUCCAAUAACUAAUGCAUUCAGUGAUUGACACAUCAGCUUAGUACUAUUUUUUAUUUUUUCAUUUUUACGCAUAGUAUGUGUCGUUUUUAUUUAACUUUGUUUCUUUCUCAAAUGAUUUUCUCUUUCAUCCCCACGAUCUCCACAUCUCCACUUUCUCUCUUCCAAAAACUCCAUGACUACUGUGUAAAAUCUCAAAAAUGGGUUUCUCAACAUCAUUAAUCGAUUACUCAGAAAUCAGGUACUUUGUUCAUCUCAAUGAACCAAUUUACCAUCUUCUAUUUCUGUUUGUAAUUUUGUUUUAUAUAUAUAGAAAUUUUCCAUAGAUCCGAAAAUCAUAUAUCCUUCUUCUAGAUUUCUAUGGUUUUUU
rnacentral:sRNA from 1 species